rnacentral:tRNA from 1 species
GCAUUGGUGGUUCAGUGGUAGAAUUCUCGCCUGCCACGCGGGAGGCCCGGGUUCGAUUCGGCUAAUGCA